rnacentral:lncRNA from 1 species
GUAGUUUGAAUCCUUCUGCAGCCACGUAUUAGGUCUGUUAAAGGGCUGCUAUUGCAAAUCUGGUCCUCCAGCAUCCACCUGUUCUCUGCACCUUCAGUACCCUUCAAUAAAUCACACCAUUUCUUAAAAAUAAAGGUGGACCUCAUCUGAUCAGUUGAAGUCUUGAAUAGAAUAAAAAGACUGACCCUCCCACGAGUAAGAGGGAAUCUCGCCUGCCUACCUGCCUGCCUUCAAACUGGGACAUUGGUUUUUUCCUGCCUUUAGACUCAAACUGAUCAUUGGCUCUUUGUGGGAUUCACGCCUGGCAGCCUUUGGACUGGAAAUACACCAUCAGCUCUCCGGGUCUCCAGCUUGCCAGCCCACCCUGCAGAUCGUGGGACUUGUCGGC